UACGAAGGGUGCAAACGUUGCUCGGAAUCAUUGGGCGUAAAGCGCACGUAGGCGGCUCCAAAAGUCGGAUGUGAAAUCCCUGGGCUCAACCGAGGAAGUGCAUCCGAAACUGCGGAGCUUGAGUAUGGAAGAGGGUCGCGGAAUUCCCGGUGUAGAGGUGAAAUUCGUAGAUAUCGGGAGGAACACCAGUGGCGAAGGCGGCGACCUGGGCCAAUACUGACGCUGAGGAGCGAAAGCGUGGGAAGCGAACAGG
rnacentral:rRNA from 1 species